rnacentral:misc_RNA from 1 species
AACGCACAUUGCACCUUAUAGUAUUCUAUAGGGUAUAUCUGUCUGAGUGUUAGCAAAAUCAAUUUUAUUUUCAGAUUUGACAAUAAGAUAUUUUAAAGAGAUAAUAUUUAUAUUAUCCUUUAGAAAUUCAUUCACGGUAAUCAGUUUAGAAUUUUUAAAUGUAAUAUAAUAAUAUAAAUCAUUUAAAAAUUUCAAAAUAAUACUUGUGAUAAAUAUAGUGAGAAAAGUAUUUGAAAUUCAACCUCAGAUCAGAUAGGAAUACCCGCUGAACUUAA